UACAGAGGGUGCAAGCGUUGUUCGGAAUUAUUGGGCGUAAAGCGCGUGUAGGCGGCUUUGCAAGUCGGGUGUGAAAGCCCUCAGCUCAACUGAGGAAGUGCGCCCGAAACUGCAGAGCUUGAGUGCCGGAGAGGGUGGCGGAAUCCCCAAGCUAGAGGUAGGAAAUUCGUAAUAUGGGGAGGAACACCGGUGGGCGAAGGGC
rnacentral:rRNA from 1 species